UUCGCCCUUGGUUGAUCCCGCCGGACCUGACUGCUAUCGGAUUGAUACUAAGCCAUGCGAGUCAUUGUAGCAAUACAAGGCAGACGGCUCAGUAACGCGUAGUCAACCUACCCUAUGGACGGGAAUAACCUCGGGAAACUGAGUAUAAUGCCCGAUAGAACACUAUACCUGGAAUGGUUUGUGUUUCAAAUGAUUUAUUGCCGUAGGAUGGGACUGCGGCCUAUCAGUUUGUUGGUGAGGUAAUGGCCCACCAAGACUAUUACAGGUACGGGCUCUGAGAGGAGUGGCCCGGAGAUGGGUACUGAGACACGGACCCAGGCCCUAUGGGGCGCAGCAGGCGAGAAAACUUUGCAAUGUGCGAAAGCACGACAAGGUUAAUCCGAGUGGUUUCUGCUAAAGGAACCUUUUGACAGUCCUAGAAACACUGUUGAAUAAGGGGUGGGCAAGUUCUGGUGUCAGCCGCCGCGGUAAAACCAGCACCUCAAGUGGUCAGGAUGAUUAUUGGGCCUAAAGCAUCCGUAGCCGGCUCAGUAAGUUUUCGGUUAAAUCUGUACGCUCAACGUACAGGCUGCCGGGAAUACUGCAGAGCUAGGGGGUGGGAGAGGUAGACGGUACUCGGGAGGAAGUGGUAAAAUGCUUUGAUCUUUCGAUGACCACCUGUGGCGAAGGCGGUCUACCAGAACACGUCCGACGGUGAGGGAUGAAAGCUGGGGGAGCAAACCGGAUUAGAUACCCGGGUAGUCCCAGCUGUAAACUAUGCAAACUCAGUGAUGCAUU
rnacentral:rRNA from 1 species